UNUGACUUGAGUGCAGAAGGGGAGAGUGGAAUUCCAUGUGUAGCGGUGAAAUGCGUAGAUAUAUGGAGGAACACCAGUGGCGAAAGCGGCUCUCUGGUCUGUCACUGACGCUGAGGCUCGAAAGCGUGGGUAGCGAACAGGAUUAGAUACCCUGGUAGUCCACGCCGUAAACGAUGAGUGCUAGGUGUUAGGCCCUUUCCGGGGCUUAGUGCCGGAGCUAACGCAAUAAGCACUCCGCCUGGGGAGUACGACCGCAAGGUUGAAACUCAAAGGAAUUGACGGGGGCCCGCACAAGCGGUGGAGCAUGUGGUUUAAUUCGAAGCAACGCGAAGAACCUUACCAGGUCUUGACAUCCCGAUGCUAUUCUUAGAGAUAGGAAGUUACUUCGGUACAUCGGAGACAGGUGGUGCAUGGUUGUCGUCAGCUCGUGUCGUGAGAUGUUGGGUUAAGUCCCGCAACGAGCGCAACCCUUAUUGUUAGUUGCCAUCAUUAAGUUGGGCACUCUAGCGAGACUGCCGGUAAUAAACCGGAGGAAGGUGGGGAUGACGUCAAAUCAUCAUGCCCCUUAUGACCUGGGCUACACACGUGCUACAAUGGUCGGUACAACGAGUUGCGAGCCGGUGACGGCAAGCUAAUCUCUGAAAGCCGAUCUCAGUUCGGAUUGGAGGCUGCAACUCGCCUCCAUGAAGUCGGAAUCGCUAGUAAUCGCGGAUCAGCACGCCGCGGUGAAUACGUUCCCGGGCCUUGUACACACCGCCCGUCACACCACGAGAGUUUGUAACACCCGA
rnacentral:rRNA from 1 species